rnacentral:rRNA from 1 species
AUUGAACGCCGACGGCAGGCCUAACCCAUGCAAGUCGAACGAGUGGCGGACGGGGGCGUAAUGUCUGGGAAUCUGCCUGAUGGAGGGGGAUAACUACGGGAAACGGUAGCUAAUACCGCAUACCAGCAGAUGGGCCCAGAUGGGAUUAGCUAGUUGGUGGGGUAACGGCUCACCAAGGCGACGAUCCCUAGCUGGGCUGAGAGGAGGACCAGCCACACUGGAACUGAGACACGGUCCAGACUCCGACGGGAGGCAGCAGUGGGGAAUAUUGCACAAUGGGCGCAAGCCUGAUACAGCCAUGCCGCGUGUAUGAAGAAGGCCUUCGGGUUGUAAAGUACUUUCAGCGGGGCGGCGUUACCCGCAGAAGAAGCACCGGCUAACUCCGUGCCAGCAGCCGCGGUAAUAC